rnacentral:rRNA from 1 species
GACGAACGCUGGCGGCGUGCUUAACACAUGCAAGUCGAACGCUGAAGCUCAGCUUUUGUUGGGUGGAUGAGUGGCGAACGGGUGAGUAACACGUGAGUAACCUGCCCCCUUCUUUGGGAUAACGCCCGGAAACGGGUGCUAAUACUGGAUAUUCACUGGUCUUCGCAUGGGGGUUGGUGGAAAGGGUUUUUCUGGUGGGGGAUGGGCUCGCGGCCUAUCAGCUUGUUGGUGGGGUGAUGGCCUACCAAGGCUUUGACGGGUAGCCGGCCUGAGAGGGUGACCGGUCGCAUUGGGACUGAGAUACGGCCCAGACUCCUACGGGAGGCAGCAGUGGGGAAUAUGGCACAAUGGGCGCAAGCCUGAUGCAGCGACGCCGCGUGAGGGAUGGAGGCCUUCGGGUUGUGAACCUCUUUCGCUCAUGGUCAAGCCGCAACAAUGGUUGUGGUGAGGGUAGUGGGUAAAGAAGCGCCGGCUAACUACGUG